rnacentral:rRNA from 1 species
CCUACGGGCGGCAGCAGUGGGGAAUAUUGGACAAUGGGCGAAAGCCUGAUCCAGCCAUGCCGCGUGUGUGAAGAAGGCCUUCGGGUUGUAAAGCACUUUCAGUGGGGAAGAAAGCCUUGGGGCUAAUACCCUCGAGGAAGGACAUCACCCACAGAAGAAGCACCGGCUAACUCCGUGCCAGCAGCCGCGGUAAUACGGAGGGUGCGAGCGUUAAUCGGAAUUACUGGGCGUAAAGCGCGCGUAGGCGGUCUGAUAAGCCGGUUGUGAAAGCCCCGGGCACAACCUGGGAACGGCAUCCGGAACUGUCAGGCUAGAGUGCAGGAGAGGAAGGUAGAAUUCCCGGUGUAGCGGUGAAAUGCGUAGAGAUCGGGAGGAAUACCAGUGGCGAAGGCGGCCUUCUGGACUGACACUGACGCUGAGGUGCGAAAGCGUGGGUAGCAAACAGGAUUAGAUACCCCAGUAGUC